GUUAAAAAAGGGCACGCAUUAAUUUUGUAGUAGUUCAAAACAGAAAAUAAUUCGGUCCCGUCAAUAAAAGAGUUUUCACUUCAGUUAUGUAUGUAUAUAUCUUGCGACGACGACAGUAGAACGAUAUUUUUGUUCUGUAUUGUGAGAAAGUUUGAAGAUCAAAGGAUCAAGCGUAAUGUGUACUGUUAACUGGCGAAUAUCCAUUUUAUAUUAAAUGCAAAAAAUUGAAAACUUCAAGUGACUGCAGGACGGAGAUAGCAUAAUAAACCAUGAUAAAUUUGUGUUUGCAGACUUAUCCCCAGUGCCAGCAGUCAAAGAGCAGUGUCAUUUAUUUGUGGCAGAAACGAUGUUUACCCAGUCUAGCUAAAUUGUAAUUUUAAAGUAUAAUUAAUUUGUUCCUCUUCUCAAAGACCUCUUGCCAGUCGGAAUUCGGAUGCAAGUUUUACAAUAUGUAUUGCGGGUGCCGGGUAUUUCGCGCACUCGCUCACAUAUUUGCAAUAAUAAAAAGCCAAUCCAAGCAGACCGACCUAAAAUAAGAGCGACUGGCUUUUCCACGCAAUUUCAAAAAAUGUAUGGGCGUCAUUCAUCACACUAUUUUAUUUUGUCUUUGGUAUUACGUAUGUGAUGUGGGCCAAAUACACAAAUAUAAACCUAAUGUAUUAAGGAAA